ACAGCGGAAGACUAAAAUAAAUUAAAAUUUAUUUUUUAAAAUUAGAAAAUUUCUAGAUCUAAGAUCCUAUUACAUGAUUAUUACAUAGCAUUAAAUCAAAAAUUAAAAUAUAUAAAUAUAGCAUGAACUAUAUGUUGAUCAUAUCAACAUGUUUCUAUACUACAUCUAAUGUAUGUAUUAAACAAUAGAUCAGAUCUAUUACCUUGCAAGUUAGACGUUCUAACCUUAUUGAUCUGGGCUUGAGGAUGAUGUUGC
rnacentral:lncRNA from 1 species